CCUGCCGGAGGCCGCUGUGGUGCGGAGACCCCCGGGUGAAUCCACCGACACCAUGUCUGACCAGGUUCUCUAACCCUAACUAUUCUGGAACUUCCUAUUAUGUAGACCAGGAUGGCCUCUGACUCCUGGGAUUGAAGGCAAAACCUUCAACUGAGGACUUAGGAGAUAAGAAAGAAGGAGAAUACAUUAAACUCAAAGUUAUUGGACAGGACAGCAGUGAGAUCCAUUUCAAAGUGAAAAUGACAACACAUCUCAAGAAGCUCAAAGAAUCGUACUGUCAAAGACAGGGAGUUCCAAUGAAUUCACUCAGGUUUCUCUUUGAAGGUCAGAGAAUUGCUGAUAAUCAUACUCCAAAAGAACUGGGAAUGGAGGAAGAAGACGUGAUUGAAGUUUAUCAGGAACAAACGGGGGGUCACUCGACGGUUUAGAUAAUUCUUUUUAUUUUUUAUUUUUUCCUUUUCCCUCAAUCCUUUUUUAUUUUUAAAAAUAGUUCUUUUGUAAUGUGGUGUUCAAAAUGAAAAUUGAAUACUGGCACUCCAUCUCUUAGAACAUCUGGUAAUCUGAAUUCUAGUGUUCAAUAUUCAUUAUUGGUUGUUUUUGUUGUGCUGAUUUUUGGUGAUCAGACCUCAGCUCCCUUAACAUUGCCCUUCUUCCUUUAAGAGAUUUCAUGUGU
rnacentral:lncRNA from 1 species